AGGUGCGCACGCGCAGCGCGAUGUGAGAAUUAUGACAAGCAAUCACUAGGAUUGGAAUUGCCGGCCGCGACGCACAUCGGAUGAGUACAAGUGAGGCUUAAGAGUUAGGGUAGCUGCAGACUGCAGUACUUCGUAGAUUUCUGAAUAAUGAAUAUUUCGUCUAUAACUUCUAAGAUAAGAUUCAGAGGAAUUCCUCUUUCCUGCAAACCGAAUGUAUGCUACGAAGCCUUAAACACUUGAUAAGUUAAUAAUAUUGGUUCAAAAGCUAAGGUCAUGAUAAUCAGGGUAGGUUUACGAGAUUUUGCUCUUUUUAUAUGACAGCAACAAUGUCUGUGUGAGAAUUUAUAUGAUAACCAUCAUAUAAAUUCUCACGACUAUACAAUAGAGAAAUACUAUAUUUAAAUGAUUGUUUUUAGAAAAUUACAUAUCAUAUUUCGGAUAUAAAUAUAAAAUUGUAGAGCUUUGAAUUUUGAUACUAUUUUCGAUUUCGUAUUAAACUAUUUUACGGA